rnacentral:rRNA from 1 species
CGCGUUGGUGACCUGCCCCGAAGAGGGGGAUAACAGUCCGAAAGGAUUGCUAAUACCCCAUGUGGUCAAGAGGAUUAGAUGCCUUAUGACUAAACGGAGAAAUUCGCUUCGGGAGGGGCCUGCGUCCCAUCAGCUAGUUGGUAGGGUAAUAGCCUACCAAGGCGAUGACGGGUAGGGGACCUGAGAGGGUGGCCCCCCACAAUGGAACUGAAACACGGUCCAUACACCUACGGGUGGCAGCAGUAGGGAAUAUUGGUAAUCUGGGAAACCGGGAACCAGCAACGCCGCGUGCGCGAUGAAGGCCUUCGGGUUGUAAAGCGCUUUUUGAGAGGAUGAGGAAGGACAGUACUCUUAGAAUAAGCCUCGGCUAACUACGUGCCAGCAGCCGCGGUAAAACGUAGGAGGCGAGCGUUAUCCGGAUUUACUGGGCGUAAAGCGUGUGUAGGCGGUUUGAUAAGUUGGAUGUGAAAGCUCCUGGCUUAACUGGGAGAGGUCGUUCAAAACUAUCAGACUUGAGAGUGGUAGAGGGAGGUGGAAUUCCGCAUGUAGUGGUGAAAUGCGUAGAUAUGCGGAGGAACACCAGUGGCGAAAGCGGCCUCCUGGCCCAUUUCUGACGCUCAGACACGAAAGCUAAGGUAGCAGACGGGAUUAGAGACCCCGGUAGUCUUAGCUGUAAACGAUGUGAACUUAGUGUCGGUGGGGUUAAAUCCAUCGGUACUGAAGCUAACGCGAUAAGUUCACCGCCUGAGGACUACGGCCGCAAGGUUAAAACUCAAAGGAAUUGACGGGGCCCCGCACAAGCAGCGGAACCGUGUGGUUUAAUUCGAUGUUACACGAAGAACCUUACCAGGGUUUGACAUGCAAGUUGGUAGGAAACCGAAAGGCGACCGACCCUUUCGGGGAGCUUGCACAGGUGCUGCAUGGCUGUCGUCAGCUCGUG